AAAAGAAACCAACAGGGAUUGCCUCAGUAACGGCGAGUGAAGCGGCAAAAGCUCAAAUUUUAAAGCUGGCACCUCCGGUGUCCGCGUUGUAAUUUUGUGAGGCAUCUCCGGGUGGGGCGCCGGCCUAAGUUCCUUGGAACAGGACGUCAUAGAGGGUGAGAAUCCCGUGCUUGGCUGGCUGUCCCCGUCCAUGUGAGGUGUCUUCGACGAGUCGAGUUGUUUGGGAAUGCAGCUCAAAAUGGGUGGUAAAUUUCAUCUAAAGCUAAAUAUUGGUGGGAGACCGAUAGCGCACAAGUAGAGUGAUCGAAAGAUGAAAAGCACUUUGAAAAUAGAGUUAAAAAGUACGUGAAAUUGUUGAAAGGGAAGCGCUUGAGACCAGACUUCGGUGGGGAGUGAUCAGCCGUCCUUCUGGGCGGUGCACUUGCCCCCCUCCGGGCCAGCAUCGGUUGGGACGGCGGGAUAAAGGUCCCGGGAAUGUGGCUCCUCUCGGGGAGUGUUAUAGCCCGGGUGAAUGCCGCCAGCCCCGACCGAGGACCGCGCCUUCGGGCUAGGAUGCUUGGCAUAAUGG
rnacentral:rRNA from 1 species